UACGAAGGGGGGCUAGCGUUGCUCGGAAUGACUGGGCGUAAAGGGCGCGUAGGUGGCCAACUAAGUCAGACGUGAAAUCCCUCGGCUUAACCGGGGGAACUGCGUCUGAUACUGGAUGGCUUGAGUUUGGGGAGAGGGACGCGGAAUUCCAGGUGUAGCGGUGAAAUGCGUAGAUAUCUGGAGGAACACCGGUGGCGAAGGCGGCGUCCUGGACCAAUACUGACACUGAAACGCGAAAGCCAGGGGAGCAAACGGG
rnacentral:rRNA from 1 species